rnacentral:rRNA from 1 species
GAUGAACGCUGGCGGCGUGCUUAACACAUGCAAGUCGAACGGAAAGGCUCCUGCUUGCAGGGGUACUCGAGUGGCGAACGGGUGAGUAACACGUGGGUGAUCUGCCCUGCACUUCGGGAUAAGCCUGGGAAACUGGGUCUAAUACCGGAUAGGACCACAUUUUGGAUGGUGUGGUGGAAAGUUUUUCGGUGUGGAGUGAGCUCGCGGCCUAUCAGCUUGUUGGUGGGGUAAUGGCCUACCAAGGCGUCGACGGGUAGCCGGCCUGAGAGGGUGUACGGCCACAUUGGGACUGAGAUACGGCCCAGACUCCUACGGGAGGCAGCAGUGGGGAAUAUUGCACAAUGGGCGCAAGCCUGAUGCAGCGACGCCGCGUGGGGGAUGACGGCCUUCGGGUUGUAAACUCCUUUCGCUAGGGACGAAGCGCAAGUGACGGUACCUGGAGAAGAAGCACCGGCUAACUACGUG